rnacentral:rRNA from 1 species
AAUUGUUCGCAAUGGGCGCAAGCCUGACGACGCAACGCCGCGUGGAGGAUGAAGAUCUUCGGGUCGUAAACUCCUUUCGAUCGAGACGAACGGCUUCCGGGUGCAUAAUCCGGGCGAGUGACGGUACCGAGAGAAGAAGCCCCGGCCAACUACGUGCCAGCAGCCGCGGUAAUACGUAGGGGGCGAGCGUUGUCCGGAUUCAUUGGGCGUAAAGAGCUCGUAGGCGGUUCGGUAAGUCAGGUGUGAAAACUCCAGGCUCAACUUGGAGACGCCACCUGAUACUGUCGUGACUAGAGUCCGGUAGGGGAGCAUGGAAUUCCUGGUGUAGCGGUGAAAUGCGCAGAUAUCAGGAGGAACACCAGCGGCGAAGGCGGUGCUCUGGGCCGGAACUGACGCUGAGGAGCGAAAGCGUGGGGAGCGAAC